rnacentral:rRNA from 1 species
UGCCAGCCGCCGCGGUAAUACGGAGGGUCCGAGCGUUAUCCGAAAUCAUUGGGUUUAAAGGGUCCGUAGGCGGUUAGAUAAGUCAGUGGUGAAAGUUUUCGGCUCAACCGGAAAAAUGCCAUUGAUACUGUUUAACUUGAAUUAGUGUGAAGUAAUUAGAAUAAGUAGUGUAGCGGUGAAAUGCAUAGAUAUUACUUAGAAUACCGAUUGCGAAGGCGGUCUACUACGUAUAUACUGACGCUGAGGGACGAAAGCGUGGGGAGCGAACAGGAUUAGAUA